UCUGAAGGCCUYUAAGUCAGAAUCCGUGCUAGAAACGAUGAUGUUGGUGUCGCACAUUAGACUUGUGUUUAAAUAGAGCUUUGCUCGUGAACCAAAUAUGGUGGGCUGGGUUGUCUUUGCGGAAACGCUUGGGCGACUUGUCUACGAAUUGUAAUCAUAAUAUGGGCGGCGGUGAAUCCUUUGCAGACGACUUGAAUGGGAACGGGGUACUGUAAGUGGUAGAGUAGCCUUGUUGCUACGAUCCACUGAGGUUAAGCCCUUGUUCUAAAGAUUUGUUCA
rnacentral:rRNA from 1 species